rnacentral:rRNA from 1 species
GAUGAACGCUGGCGGCGUGCCUAAUACAUGCAAGUCGAGCGAACGGACGAGAAGCUUGCUUUUCUGAUGUUAGCGGCGGACGGGUGAGUAACACGUGGAUAACCUACCUAUAAGACUGGGAUAACUUCGGGAAACCGGAGCUAAUACCGGAUAAUAUUUUGAACCGCAUGGUUCAAAAGUGAAAGACGGUCUUGCUGUCACUUAUAGAUGGAUCCGCGCUGCAUUAGCUAGUUGGUAAGGUAACGGCUUACCAAGGCAACGAUGCAUAGCCGACCUGAGAGGGUGAUCGGCCACACUGGAACUGAGACACGGUCCAGACUCCUACGGGAGGCAGCAGUAGGGAAUCUUCCGCAAUGGGCGAAAGCCUGACGGAGCAACGCCGCGUGAGUGAUGAAGGUCUUCGGAUCGUAAAACUCUGUUAUUAGGGAAGAACAUAUGUGUAAGUAACUGUGCACAUCUUACGGUACCUAAUCAGAAAGCCACGGCUAACUACGUG